CUACAUGACUUAAAAAGCCUCAGUGUCCAUCUAAAAUUCUUUAGACCAGAGGAAUAUUAAAAUGUGGAUAAAUCAACUCAUCAGCUUAAGUGUAAGGCUCAUUGUCUUCCAUUGUCAAUUGCGCUUGUUCCAGUUGCAUGUCCUCAAUCUGGCAAUCGAUGUGAGAAUUGAGUUUGA